rnacentral:rRNA from 1 species
CGUAGGGUGCGAGCGUUGUCCGGAAUUAUUGGGCGUAAAGGGCUCGUAGGCGGUUUGUCGCGUCGGGAGUGAAAACAUCGGGCUUAACUCGGUGCUUGCUUUCGAUACGGGCAGACUAGAGGUAUGCAGGGGAGAAUGGAAUUCCUGGUGUAGCGGUGAAAUGCGCAGAUAUCAGGAGGAACACCGGUGGCGAAGGCGGUUCUCUGGGCAUUACCUGACGCUGAGGAGCGAAAGUGUGGGGAGCGAACAGGAUUAGAUACCCUGGUAGUCCACACCGUAAACGUUGGGCGCUAGGUGUGGGAUCCUUUCCACGGGUUCCGUGCCGUAGCUAACGCAUUAAGCGCCCCGCCUGGGGAGUACGGCCGCAAGGCUA